AGAGAUCAUCGCCUUCUUUUGUUGAGACACUUUGUUGGAGCGAGGAGCUGCUCGGUCUACAAGCCAACGCAAACAUCGAGGCGUCAGAGAAGAUGGAGCUGACCACACUCUGGGAGCGGGUGUGGCCUGUGGAUGUCAUCUCAGAAACGCCGCUGUCUGAUUGGCUGGAGUGAUUGGACUGAGAUUCUGAGGAUGUAACGGAGACAGAGGUUCUGUUACAAAUGACUGAUAAAGUGACAGACCUGGAAGACUGGAGGAGCUGGAUCCUGACUUGAUAGAAGAAGAAGAGAGUGAUGACCAAUCAUAGGCCGCCUCUGUUCUCCUCAUGGCCUCCUGGUAGUUGAUAUCCUACAGUUCUUACCUUUGCGAUGCGAAUACUGUUGACCCACUGUUGGAGGUUCCUGACGUCAUCGCAGCACAGGUACUUGAUGUACUGGGACUUCUUCUGGAUCUGAGGGUGCUGCAGAUCCACAUACCAACACAUGAUCAAUAACAUACGGGACAUUGUACAACAGCUGCUACUGCUAUGACAUCAUCAUUUAUAAUGGAACUUCACAUCAACACAUUCAAAUAAACCACCGGGUGUUUCGGGUAGAACGGAGGGGGAAAUGGAGAUGUAAUCCACCCUUUACACCACUAGAUGACACUACAGGGUAACAAAGAAAAUUGUAACUUCACUGCAAAUAUUUCUUCACUCCUUCACUGAUUGUGUUUAAAGGCUGUCUGCUCACUCUGUUUGUCAAUACUUAAUGCAUUUUUAAAAAAAAAAUUACAGUCACUGAUGUGGUGGAGAGUCAAGUUUCUCUUUCUUAAAAAAUAACAAUAAAAGUAAUGGUUUUAUGGGGUAAUAACUUGUGGAUUUCUGCUUUACAUCACUGUAAAAAAUGCAGAGUUGACCAAUUAAAUGUGAUUACUUGAAAAGGUCUGUGUUUCUUUUAUAUUUUGAUUACAGCAUUAUUAAAAAAAUAAAAUUAUACUGUAAUGCUAAUUGUUUUUACAUUCAUAUUCACCCCCACCAUGGAAUACAGGGGUGGCCUUAAA